GGAGAGGUGUCCGAGUGGUUGAAGGAGCACGAUUGGAAAUCGUGUGUGCGCUUACAGGCGUACCGAGGGUUCGAAUCCCUCUCUCUCCG
rfam:Candidatus Thiomargarita nelsonii contig_1219, whole genome shotgun sequence.